UACCCGCUGAAUUUAAGCAUAUUACUAAGCGGAGGAAAAGAAACUAACAAGGAUUCCCUCAGUAGCGGCGAGCGAAGAGGGAAGAGCCCAGCGCCGAAUCCCCGUCCGUCCGGCGGGCGCGGGACAUGUGGCGUACGGAAGACCUCCUGCCCGGCGCGGCUCGGUGGGCCCAAGUCCUCUUGAUCGAGGCUCAUCCCGUGGACGGUGCGAGGCCGGUAGCGGCCCCCGUCGCGCCGGGGCUCGGUCUUCUCGGAGUCGGGUUGCUUGGGAACGCAGCCCAAAGCGGGUGGUAAACUCCAUCUAAGGCNUAAAUACCGGCACGAGACCGAUGGCGGACAAGUACCUUAAGGGAAAGUUGAAAAGAACUUUGAAGAGGAGAGUUC
rnacentral:rRNA from 1 species